CGCCUGGGGAGUACGGUCGCAAGAUUAAAACUCAAAUGAAUUGACGGGGGCCCGCACAAGCGGUGGAGCAUGUGGUUUAAUUCGAUGCAACGCGAAGAACCUUACCUACUCUUGACAUCCAGAGAACCCUUUAGAGAUAAAAGGGUGCCUUCGGGAACUCUGAGACAGGUGCUGCAUGGCUGUCGUCAGCUCGUGUUGUGAAAUGUUGGGUUAAGUCCCGCAACGAGCGCAACCCUUAUCCUUGUUUGCCAGCACUUCGGGUGGGAACUCCAGGGAGACUGCCGGUGAUAAACCGGAGGAAGGUGGGGACGACGUCAAGUCAUCAUGGCCCUUACGAGUAGGGCUACACACGUGCUACAAUGGCAUAUACAGAGGGCUGCCAACUCGCGAGAGUGAGCGAAUCCCAUAAAGUAUGUCGUAGUCCGGAUUGGAGUCUGCAACUCGACUCCAUGAAGUCGGAAUCGCUAGUAAUCGUGGAUCAGAAUGCCACGGUGAAUACGUUCCCGGGCCUUGAACACACCGCCCGUC
rnacentral:rRNA from 1 species